AUUGAACGCUGGCGGAAUGCUUUACACAUGCAAGUCGAACGGCAGCACGGACUUCGGUCUGGUGGCGAGUGGCGAACGGGUGAGUAAUGUAUCGGAACGUGCCCAGUCGUGGGGGAUAACGUAGUGAAAAUUACGCUAAUACCGCAUACGAUCUAUGGAUGAAAGCGGGGGAUCGCAAGACCUCGCGCGAUUGGAGCGGCCGAUAUCAGAUUAGGUAGUUGGUGGGGUAAAGGCCCGCCAAGCCAACGAUCUGUAGCUGGUCUGAGAGGACGACCAGCCACACUGGAACUGAGACACGGUCCAGACUCCUACGGGAGGCAGCAGUGGGGAAUUUUGGACAAUGGGCGAAAGCCUGAUCCAGCCAUUCCGCGUGCAGGAUGAAGGCCCUCGGGUUGUAAACUGCUUUUGUACAGAACGAAAAGGUUUCUACUAAUACUAGGAGCUCAUGACGGUACUGUAAGAAUAAGCACCGGCUAACUACGUGCCAGCCGCCGCAAUAA
rnacentral:rRNA from 1 species